rnacentral:rRNA from 1 species
GACAGAGGUGCCGAGCGUUAGGCGGAAUCACUGGGCUUAAAGCGUGUGUAGGCGGAUCUGUAAGUACCUUGUGAAAUCCCACGGCUCAACCGUGGAACUGCUUGGUAUACUGCGGGUCUUGAGCCACCUAGGGGCAAGUGGAACAAACGGUGGAGCGGUGAAAUGCGUAGAUAUCGUUUGGAACGCCAAUGGUGAAAACAACUUGCUGGGGGUGUGCUGACGCUGAGACACGAAAGCCAGGGGGGCAAACGGG